GGUUGAAAUUUUCCCGAGAUCCUUUGAGCGCUCGCUUACUUCUGCUUACAUAGCGCCUCACAGUGGCCACUGCACGAAGCGCAACUUAAUUCAAUCUGAUUUAACUCAACACGACAGAAAUGAUUCAAACCCGUGAUUUCAUGAAGUUGUCGAGUCAUAAAAACUGAAAAAGCUUUAAAUGGUCAUUUUGCUGUUUGGAUCAGAACAAUUAGUUUAAUUUCCGCAUCAAGAAGUUUUGCAAUAAGCCACUUUCCAAGAUUCAACCAGAGAUAUUUACUGAAUUAAAAAUAAAAAAUGGAUUCAAGCCACACAGACUGCCAAAGUGUUCUUGGAAAAGAAUAUCGGGACAGAAGAGGACUUGACUCCACUCUGCACCAAUGAUGCGAUUAUAGCAAUACACUGCAAUAUCAAAAAAGAAAAAAAAGAACAUAUUACAUGUAGUGUACUCUACAUACCCGGGCAAAUAAAUGAAACUCAGUGCGGCUACAGGAUUUCACUGAUGAUUCAAAGCCAUACUGUAUACCUCCGCCUGAUGGACCUAACCCCAGCGGAUGGUGGAGUCUACAACUGUGAGUGCACGGUUAAGGGUAACAUGUCUAAAAUUCAACUCAAAGUCUCUGUGAAAGUUAAUGAACAAGAUGAACUUCAGGUCUCAAAUAGUUACGCAAACUUGAUUUUACUUUGUUCAGUUGUCUCUUCAGUCAUUAUAUUUGGAGUAAUUCUUGGUUGUAUUUGCUGGAUGUGUUGCAGGCAACGAUCUGAGCCUGCAAUGACGGGAGGAGAGGAGAUGGAAACAUACGCACCGCUCCAGCGGCCGACCAAUGAUCUCUACCAAACUAUUCACACAUUUAAACAAUGAUCAAAUGUAACUUUUUGAAUAAUCUUUUAUACUUUUAUAUUCUGAGCUUUAUUUUUUUGUUGUAACUAGAUUUUCUAACCGGGUGAAGGGUCCGCCACCUGCUUGACUCCAUGAGAUGAGAUGUUCUUGCUUUGCCUGGAAUGUUCUACAGACUUUAAACUGAUCCAUUUUAACAGAGAAAAGCAUGUGACACGACCAGACCAAGUUACAGGUCAGAUCUAUGGAGAGGCAACUCUGUAAGAAUGCAUGUUUUUUAAGGUUGUUUUUUAGCAAUAAGACAACUUUAAUUGAAAACAUGCAAGAGACAUGAGUUUAAUAUCAUACUGUUUAACAUUUCAGGCAAAAAUCUAUCCGUUACUUAGUGGCCCUUUAUAUUAUACUCUCCUUAUAUGCAGUUAACUGAGGUUUUUAAAAGAAAAACCACAACAGUGCAGUGCAAUGGUCAUAUUUCCUUUUGAGUCAUAUUCAGAGGUUAUACUGUUCAAGCUAACUUUGCAACUCAGAUUUCAGAUACAUUUAAUCUGCAAUUUCUACUACUUCUCUGCAAAAUGUAUGAACUAUUUUACAGUUUGGAUUAUCUAUGUUGGAUUAUUUCCUUUUCCCAUUUCCUAUUUCCUAUUUCUUUUUGUUUAUAUG